UCCUGUCCAACGUUAAUCGGGGCAGGGUGAGUCGACCCCUAAGGCGAGGCUGAAAAGCGUAGUCGAUGGGAAACAGGUUAAUAUUCCUGUACUUGGUGUUACUGCGAAGGGGGGACGGAGAAGGCUAGGCUGGCCGGGCGACGGUUGUCCCGGUUUAAGCGUGUAGGGGGAGUGACCAGGUAAAUCCGGUUGCUUAUCAACCCUGAGGCGUGAUGACGAUGCACCACGGUGCAGAAGCAGUUGAUGCCAUGCUUCCAGGAAAAGCCUCUAAGCAUCAGGUAACAUUAAAUCGUACCCCAAACCGACACAGGUGGUCAGGUAGAGAAUACUCAGGCGCUUGAGAGAACUCGGGUGAAGGAACUAGGCAAAAUGGUGCCGUAACUUCGGGAGAAGGCACGCUGGCGUUAGGUGAAAGGACUAGCUCCUGGAGCUGAAGCCAGUCGCAGAUACCAGCUGGCUGCAACUGUUUAAUAAAAACACAGCACUGUGCAAACACGAAAGUGGACGUAUACGGUGUGACGCCUGCCCGGUGCUGGAAGGUUAAUUGAUGGGGUCAGCCGCAAGGCGAAGCUCUUGAUCGAAGCCCCAGUAAACGGCGGCCGUAACUAUAACGGUCCUAAGGUAGCGAAAUUCCUUGUCGGGUAAGUUCCGACCUGCACGAAUGGCGUAAUGAUGGCCAGGCUGUCUCCACCCGAGACUCAGUGAAAUUGAACUCGCUGUGAAGAUGCAGUGUACCCGCGGCAAGACGGAAAGACCCCGUGAACCUUUACUAUAGCUUGACACUGAACAUUGAGCCUUGAUGUGUAGGAUAGGUGGGAGGCCUUGAAGUGUGGACGCCAGUCUGCAUGGAGCCAACCUUGAAAUACCACCCUUUAAUGUUUGAUGUUCUAACUCGGCCCCAUGAUCUGGGGUGAGGACAGUGUCUGGUGGGUAGUUUGACUGGGGCGGUCUCCUCCCAAAGAGUAACGGAGGAGCACGAAGGUUAGCUAAUCACGGUCGGACAUCGUGAGGUUAGUGCAAAGGCAUAAGCUAGCUUGACUGCGAGAGUGACGGCUCGAGCAGGUACGAAAGUAGGUCUUAGUGAUCCGGUGGUUCUGAAUGGAAGGGCCAUCGCUCAACGGAUAAAAGGUACUCCGGGGAUAACAGGCUGAUACCGCCCAAGAGUUCAUAUCGACGGCGGUGUUUGGCACCUCGAUGUCGGCUCAU
rnacentral:rRNA from 1 species